rnacentral:rRNA from 1 species
UACUCGAGUGGCGAACGGGUGAGUAACACGUGGGUGAUCUGCCCUGCACUUCGGGAUAAGCCUGGGAAACUGGGCCUAAUACCGGAUAGGAGCCAUUUUUAGUGUGAUGGUUGGAAAGUUUUUUCGGUGUAGGAUGAGCUCGCGGCCUAUCAGCUUGUUGGUGGGGUAAUGGCCUACCAAGGCGGCGACGGGUAGCCGGCCUGAGAGGGUGGACGGCCACAUUGGGACUGAGAUACGGCCCAG